rfam:Ictidomys tridecemlineatus contig099382, whole genome shotgun sequence.
UGGGUUGUGGCUCAGUGGUAGAGCGCUCACCUAGCACCCGUGGGGACCUGGGUUUGAUCCUCAGCACCACAU